ACCCAAUUGACGAGUCCCAAAUAGGAAGAAACGCGAGUCUUGGAU
rfam:Schistosoma haematobium scaffold117_7, whole genome shotgun sequence.